rnacentral:rRNA from 1 species
CCUACGGGCGGCAGCAGUGAGGAAUAUUGGUCAAUGGACGCAAGUCUGAACCAGCCAUGCCGCGUGCAGGAAGACGGCUCUAUGAGUUGUAAACUGCUUUUGUACGAGGGUAAACGCAGAUACGUGUAUCUGUCUGAAAGUAUCGUACGAAUAAGGAUCGGCUAACUCCGUGCCAGCAGCCGCGGUAAUACGGAGGAUUCAAGCGUUAUCCGGAUUUAUUGGGUUUAAAGGGUGCGUAGGCGGUCGGAUAAGUUAGAGGUGAAAUCCCGAGGCUCAACUUCGGAAUUGCCUCUGAUACUGUUCGGCUAGAGAGUGGUUGCGGUAGGCGGAAUGUAUGGUGUAGCGGUGAAAUGCUUAGAGAUCAUACAGAACACCGAUUGCGAAGGCAGCUUACCAAGCUACUUCUGACGUUGAGGCACGAAAGCGUGGGGAGCGAACAGGAUUAGAUACCCGUGUAGUC